rnacentral:rRNA from 1 species
UACGAAGGGGGCUAGCGUUGUUCGGAAUUACUGGGCGUAAAGGGUGCGUAGGCGGGUCUUUAAGUCAGGGGUGAAAUCCUGGAGCUCAACUCCAGAACUGCCUUUGAUACUGAGGAUCUUGAGUCCGGGAGAGGUGAGUGGAACUGCGAGUGUAGAGGUGAAAUUCGUAGAUAUUCGCAAGAACACCAGUGGCGAAGGCGGCUCACUGGCCCGGUACUGACGCUGAGGCACGAAAGCGUGGGGAGCAAACAGG